rnacentral:misc_RNA from 1 species
CGAGCCUCCCCCGCCCGAUCAUGUCAUCCUGAUCAACCCCCUCACGCAGUCAGCGGUCGUCUUGGAAGGUGAAGCGGCGCAGAUCCUGAUGGAAGGGAGCGAGCGAUCCGGUACGCCGCCGGCGUCGAAGGCGUCGAUCAAAGAGUUGCGGACGCUUGCCGUUGAAGAGUUGGUGGCGGAUCAGGAGUGCGCGGUGUGCCUUGACGAGUUUGGG